rnacentral:ncRNA from 15 species
AAUCUGGCCACUUAAUCAAGUGUGCCCAUUUUAUUGCUAACUCAAACUCAAACUUAAAAGGGAAUUGGGACGACAGCUCUUAGCAUUAGCUGCAUUAGUUAUUAGCUUAGCGAAAGCCCAAAUUGUGCCCGCAACUGUGAGUGAUUUUUAAAGACGUUCCUAGAAUCUAGGACCUAGGAACUAGGAUCUUGUUUUUAAUCACCAGUCAGGAUACCGGCCUCAUUUUGUCGCGAUAAU